UACGUAGGGUGCAAGCAUUAAUCGGAUUUAUUGGGCGUAAAGGGCGCGUAGGCGGGAAUGUAAGUCAGACGUGAAAUCCCGGGGCUCAACCCCGGAACAGCAUUUGAAACUGCGUUUCUAGAGGGUAGGCGGAGAAAACGGAAUUCCACAAGUAGCGGUGAAAUGCGUAGAUAUGUGGAAGAACACCAGUGGCGAAGGCGGUUUUCUAGCUUAUACCUGACGCUAAAGCGCGAAAGCAAGGGGAGCAAACAGG
rnacentral:rRNA from 1 species